ACAUUGGGCUAAAUAUGUUCCAAGAGCCCUCCCUGUUCAAACAGCCUAUGAACCAAUGAACAAGAGCAUUUAGGAGUCUGUUGUGGUUGCAGGAGUAUGAAAGCAGUCAGAGGGUGGUCAUAGGAAGGUUUUCUUUCAGGUCCCUUCUGACUCUGUGACAUUGUGAGAUCCCAGCAGGCACAGUAGUAAGUGGCUUCAUCCAACUUGGCAACAUUAUUAAUGAUCAGGAGGGUCUGAGACCUGUGCAAAGGAAGUGUGCCAGCUGGGCUGUAGCAGGAUCCCUCAGAGUGGAAUGAGCCUGAGGAGAGGGCAGGAGCUUCAUUCCACAUUCACUCCCAGCAUGAGUGGAGCAAACGAAUGCUAACUUCUUCAGGUCACAGGACACUGCUGAGGAAACGUGGGCAUUUGGGAUUUAAGAAGAGUCAAAAUGAUGGGGAACACGUAUGAGGCCAGAGAGAGGAGAAGAUGAUGUUUCCAGCAAUGACAUCCUGCUGUGUCCCAAGAAAAAGGCAGGGAAGUGUGUGCUUGAUGGCCAGUGGCUCAAUAAUCACAGCAGUAAGUGACCUCACCUUCCUUUUUGUGAAAUUUACUUUCAAGGUGGAAGUGGAAGGAUGAGCAUCAUUGUAACCGCAACACCUAAUGGACCCUGAGCAGGUGCGAUUGUCAACACACAUCCGAUGCUGACUUUGGUUUCAGUUGACACCAGUUUUUGACUUCAUUUUCAGUCUUGGCUGGAUAUUUUACA